rnacentral:lncRNA from 1 species
AUGCAUAGGCAUGAAGAGUGGGUUCUGACCAAGGAUAAAGGAAGACUACGGAGCGGAAGCAGCACUGAGCUGAUGUCUCUGUGGGAUUUUGGAGACGGAAGAAAAGGAAGCAGGGGUGAGUUCAACACACGGUGCCUAAGGCAGCUUAGCCUGGAUUUUAUUGAAAACCCUUGUGUGGGGCUCCCGACAAUCAGAGUCACUCAAGUUUUUCUUUCCACACUCCCCUGGCCUGAGCUCCAUUUAAUCAGAACACAUGCUUAUCUCUCGACCCACCUUUCUGUAUGUUUUACUAAUCUUAUAAAUAGACUCUUAAGAAAAUAACAAAAUGAACUUUCCAAUUUGUAAUCAAAAAACCCCAUGCAUCUCCGUGCACCUGCACCAGUGCUUUCUUGUGGGGGCAGUUCUUGCGGCCCAGCAGCAGGGGGCUAAAAGCCAACCUUCAGGAGGUGAAGGUGGUCCUUUCACUGGCACCUAAGCUUUUCCCUGACUUUUUCUUCACGUUUAGGCUGAGUUUGUGCGCGCUGGUGUCUAUUGCCUUUGGGUGGGUGACGUAGUGUGACCCAUGCCCACGAGGUGGCGACAAACGACCUCCUGGCCGGAGGACUGGAUGGAUGCAAAGAGGUGGGUGAAAUGGGUUUGCUUUCUGUCCUAACCCGAAGGAUAACCACUUACUGGAUGCUGACCACGUGGCAGGCACGCCCAGAAGUGCUGUUUAUACAUUAACUUACUGAUUUAUCUUUGCAGCAAUCCCUUGAGUCUUACAAAAGAUAAGGAACUGGUUUGCCCCAGGUCACAUACUUGGUGGUUGGCAGAGCUGACAUUUGACCUCCUCUCUGACUGAGGACAUGGGCUGUGAUCUUAUGUACUACACUCUCCUGGACCCUAAAGGAAAUACCCUAUUAAUUCGGGGAAGAAGUUGAAUGGCCCAAACUAUGUCUCACCCUCACUGAGGUCUGUAGCUCCCUUCAUCCUUCACUGUCAUAAAAUAAAGGAGUCCAGAAAGACCAGGGACUUAGAAUCCGAGAGUUAGAAAAGUCUUGACCAUCUACUCCAGGCACCCAUUCAGUAUAGGACUUUUUCAGGCACAGGCCCGAAGGAGGAUAAGAUAGUCUCUGCUGGAUCUCUUCUGGGGCCAGGAUGUCAAAUGAAGAUGGCAUGGUUCCCUCUCUAUCUUCCCAUGGUCACCUUCCUCUCCAAGAAGGGAAAUUCAGAAGAAUGAGACCAGAAGGAAGAUUCAUAGCCCCUGUUCAUCAAAGCAUUUGUCGGGAACACUGUGGAUGUGAUGCUUGUAUGUGUCAAUAUGAUUGGGCCACAGGGUGUCCAGGCGUUUGGUUGAGUCUUAUUCUGGGUAGGAUGUUUCUGGGGCAAGGUUAACCUUUGAAUUGGUGGACUGAGUAAAACAGACGGCUUUUCCCAGUGCAGAUGGGCCUCAUCUGAAGCAUUCAGAUGGGAAGACCUGAAAAGAACAAAAAAAGGCUGAUCUCUUGCAAGUAGGAGAAAGCUCCUCCUGCCUGACCACUCUAGAGCUGCAACAUAGGUUUUUCCAUUUCUUCAAACUCAAGCUGAAACAUAGGAUCCCCCCAGAGCUUAAGCCUGCUGGCUUCAGACUGGAACUACAUUUGACCCUUGAAUAACAAAGGGGACACUGGCCUCCUACACAGGCGAAAACUCAUGUAUGACUUUUGAUUCCCCAAAACUUAACUAUUAAUAGCCUACUGUUUACCAGGAGACACAUUUUGUCAACCCAAAUUUUAACAGUCAACACGCAUCUUGUAUGUUAUAGACUAUAUUCUCACAACAAAGUAAGCUAUAGAAAAGAAAAUGUUACUAAGAGAAUUAUCAGGAAGAGAAAAUGCAUUUACAGUAGGAUACUGUAUUUAUUGGAAAAAAAAUCCAUAUGUACGUGAACCCGUGCAGUUCCAACCUGCGUUACUUAAGAGUCAACUCUAUACUAUCGAGUAUUGACUACUGAGCCCACUCUUGUGGGUUUUGAGCUUGCCCACUGAAGAUCUUGGGACUUGGCCCCCAUGAUGGCAUAACCACGUGAGCCAACUCCUUGUAACAAAUAUAAGAGACACUACAUGCAUCCAUAUAGGCACAUACAUACCUAUAUGGGCCAAUGUGCAAACAUCACCUAGAAUGCUACAUUCUAAAUUCGAAUUUUUUUUUUCAAUAUCUGUAUCUGCCUGUCUUCUGUUAGUUCUGUUUUGAGUCAGCGAGAGCAACUGGACAGCAGACCAAUGCAAAGAUUCGGUCAUUCGGUCAAUAAACAUUUCCUAGGGGGACGACAGAGAGCCUCCUAGGAGAAGCUUAGCCGCAGAAACAGUAGUGACUUCUCUGGCACAGCUCAGUGUAUUCGAACAGGAAAGGAGAGUGGAAUGCAGAUUUCCAGGAAAGGACGUCCUUGGGAUGGACCGUAUACAGCUUUGCCUUCUUGAUGGACAGGCCAGCUUUGGGGGCCUCCCUUAGUUUAAAAGAUGACCCCUGAAGAACAGAAGGGUCUCUUGGCGUGGGUGUAAUAUUCUUUUAGAGGUAGUUACCCAAACCUGGUAACUACCACCUGACUGAGGAGCUGCAAAUGUGAAUGUUGAACAUCUGAGCCAGAGAUGGUUCCUUUCUGCCCUCCCCAUAUCCUCUCUUCCCCUAAUUCUUGACCCUCCACUCUCAUUUCUUGCCUGUCAUGGGGGAGUUUGUAGCAUCUUGUGGCUUUGGCUGACACCUCUCAGGAGGAAACUAGACUGUCACCUUCGUGCAGUACCUAGCAGGCCAACCAUCAUCUAGAUUUCUACAUUUUAAAAUCAAACACUUUUGUUUUAACCAUUAAAGUGGCCGCUGGCCGCCACACACCCCCAAACCAGGUUUCUGUCUGGGGUGCCCCCCACUCCCGGGGACCUCUGGGCUGAUGGGCUCCACAGUCUGAAAUCCCCUCCGGUGCACCUCCCCUGCUUCAUCAGUUGCUACCAAGGCCUGCUUCCAAACGUCUGUCAGAUUCACCCUUAUCUUUGGUUUGUGCUGUUGGGGUGUUUAACACUGCACACCUGGGUGCCUUCAAUGGCCUCCUGGGGGGCUCCCUGUUCCUCACUGUGCAGCUCAAAUAGUUCUGGUCAAAUGCCCCUUGAACCUCACCUCUCUCCUGCUCCAGACCCUACACAUGCUUCUCAGGGUCUCCCCCUGCUCGGGGACACACCCCUCGGCCUGGCUUGCAGGUGAUGCCCCCUGUGUGCUUACUCACUCCUUUCUCCCUUCAUUUCCAGCCUCUGCCCAUCCUCCAGGGCUUCCCUGUGAUGUGUGUGAGGAGCAUUCCAGAAGCCCGGGUGCGGGACUGGCCAGUGUUUUCUGCCUUCCACGUUCCGCAUCCUGCCUGCUGCCCACCCCCUCUGUAGCCCACCAAACCCCUCGGAUGCCUCAUCUACAUUCUGAUCCCAUUUUUGUCUAAUUUAAAAUUUAAUUACUCAAGUGAUACCAUCUCCAUAGCCUUUAAAGACAAAAUUUCGUAGACAACACUUAGGCCCCCUUAGACGACUCUCCCUUGUCCAGAGGCAGCAUGGUGCAGUGGUUGAGGUGUGUAUUUCCAGAUGUUUCUCGAUGUUUUUAUACACAUAUAUGUGCCCGUAGAGAAUACAUGGCAUUUUCGCUGCAUGUGGCCAUUUUUCACAUAAAUGGCAUCUUACAUUUAUUUAUAUUUUGUAAAAUUCCUGGAGAUCUAUCCCUGUGAGCCCACCUGGAUGAGCCUCACUCUGGUUAAUGGUGGCUACUUUUCUGUAGUAUGAAUCCAUCACUGUUUAUUUGACUGCUGCCCUUUGCACAGGCGCUAGAUUGUUCCAGGGUUGAGGUUUACAAACGCUGUUUACUGAACAACUGGAGGGCACGUCCUUAUGCACGUGCGUGAAUUGCUUCCACUGGUGGCAUUUUCUUGUCAGAAUCACGCAGUAAGAUUACGAUGGGAGCUGUGGUCACUCCAGAGAUUCUCAAGCACCAGCCCCUGAGAGGCAUUUGCACAACAAACUUGGAGCUCCGUAGUCUCAUUCCCAUUUUAGGGGUGAGAAAACUGAGGUUUAAAGAGGCGCAGUGGGUCAGCCUUGAAAUCCCAUCCCACUUAAUGUUCUUCCUCCUACCAGUCCCUUGUGCCGAGUCCUUUCCUUCCAGCUCUGCUGUGAAUUUCGUGACAGCGGGAACUACUCGCCUAUUCCCUUUCAUUCUCCACUAUGUCCUGGAUACACAAUAAAUCUCAAUAAAACUUGAUUGAUUAUUUGGAAGACAAAUUAGCGCUAUCAUCUUAACUAGCAGGAUAUUUUAUUUAGGUAUUUUAGCAACAAUAAGAAGAUACCAGCAUCAUAGAGUAGCUGGUUAAAAUAUUAUUAGAAGUUAAUUCAUAUUUUAGCAGAUAAUUCCUAAUUAAUUCGCUGUAGUUAUCUUGUUAAACGUCAAUUAAAUCUCUCCACAUCCCUUACAGGUUUCUGCUAUUCAUAAAAUGUAAUUAUACAGCUAUUGCCCACGUAUUCUUUAUUGCUUAUAUAAUCUACUAGUUAAAUACAAGUCAAAAAGAUUUAUCUUCCAAGUUCUUAAUAACAUCACUAAAUGUCCUAAUUAAUAAUCAAUAAUCCAUUUGCAUAAUUAAUUGGGGAAAGAGUCCUAAUGAGAUGGUGCCUUGCAGCAAGCCAGGCCGAG